GACAGAGGGUGCGAGCGUUGUUCGGAAUUACUGGGCGUAAAGCGCGUGUAGGCGGCAGCGCAAGUCGGGCGUGAAAUCCCACGGCUCAACCGUGGAAGUGCACUCGAAACUGCGCAGCUAGAGUCCUGGAGAGGAGGGUGGAAUGCUUGGUGUAGAGGUGAAAUUCGUAGAUAUCAAGCGGAACACCGGUGGCGAAGGCGGCCUUCUGGACAGUGACUGACGCUGAGACGCGAAAGCGUGGGGAGCAAACAGG
rnacentral:rRNA from 1 species